CUCUGAGGCAGCACCGCCCGCCGAAGCAGCCGGCUGGGUUAUGGUUUCGUCCCGGAGUGUUUUCAGAGGGGUUUUCACGUGAAGGCGCUGUACUAAGCAAUGUGAGAUUGCUCAGACUUUUGUUUCUCGUCAGGGAGUAUUUGUCUUCCACAUAUCUGCUGAAAGUAGGUAAAACCCUGGAAGAUGACACGGGUCUGUUAAAAUUUCAGUGCCGUAGGAAACGCGUUAAGAACAAACGCCCAGUUGGAGAUCGGAAGUCAAGCUGUGAAAGGAAAAAGAUGCUGGAUCCAUGAAGUUCUGACUGUCCACAAAAGCAGAGUCAGCUGCAGGGACUGCGAGCAGCUACUUGCCUGGUUGGGCAUUCAACUGAUUCUUCAUUAGGAUCCCCAAAUGCAUUUCAGAAAUGCUGAAUACCUGCCUGCUCCCAUCUUUCAUUCUAAGCAAGGAGAUCUGCAAAGUUUAAAGCCCAGAGAAGCCUUAUAGAGAGGGAAACAAAAUC